CAAUUCUUCAUCAGCAACACCAGAAAGCUCAUCUGCGACAACUGUGGAAACUUCUCCCACAUCUGAAACACCACCAACAGCUACCACACCUGCAACAACUGGGAGCAGUUCUACCAUCACUACAGUACUAACAACAGAUGGAAACGUAUCGACAACAACUGAGAACACUACUGCCGACAAUUCUUCAUCAGCAACACCAGG